GAGUUAUGUGGUGGAAAGCGGCAGGCUGGAGUUAUGCAGCUCACUUUCUAGCCAGAAGGAAGGAUACUGAAUGGAGGCACAUUGGUAAGUUAGGUGAUGGUAAGGUGUGAGGUUUCUCAUCCACGUUCUUGUAUUUUAAAAAUAGGAUAUAAUGGGAGAAGUUGUUUGCUAAAAAUGAGGGAAGGGAGUCUAAGGUAGAGGAUGCAAAGGGGCUGGAGAGAGUCUUUGUGCUCAUUAGGAGUGAAAAUUGACUUGAAAAACAGGGUACAUUGAGCCCCUCAGGGACUGAAGAUCAGAAUUUAUAGUGGCACUAUGUAUCUUCUGGAUUGCAAGCUUUCUCCUGAAGCUCUCAUCUUCUUGAAUAUAGGUGCAUCAAAUGUGGCUAAUCCAACUGAUCCUUUGUAAGGACUUCUCCUUUGUCUCCCAUCUCAGUACUAACCAGGCCUGAUCACGCUUAGCUUUCAAGGUCAGAGGAGAUCAGGGACAUUCAGAGUGGUGACAUGGUUUGGCUUUGUGUCCCCACCCAAAUCCCAUUUCGAAUUAUAACACCCACAUGUCAAGGGAGAGACCUAGUGAAAGGUGAUUGGAUCAUGGGGGUGAUUCCCCCAUGCUGUUCUCAUGAUAGUGAGUGAGUUCUCAUGAGAUCUCAUGGUUUUAUAAGGGCCUUUUCCCUGUUUACUCCCUCUGUCUUUCCUUCUGCCUUGUGAAGAAGAUGCCUGCUUCCCCUUCCAUCGUGAUGUUUUCAUCAAGAAAGCAGAAACUUACGUCUUCUAAGGAGCUUUUGUGUAUGCUUUUGCUUGGCUGCUAAAAAUAAAUAACUAAAAGACCCAUGAUGAAUCCGUGGGGCAAGAUUAAAAAGACUGAAAAUCAACAAAAACAGACAGAAUUGGGAGAUCAAUGAGCUCAGGAUCUGAGGCUCCCAACUGGGCAUCUUAUACUCGGUCUACUGACUCACGUUCAUCUUCUCCAAGAACACCCUCACAGACACACCUGGAGAAGCUCAAUCAUUCUAAUCAAAAUGAAAACCACCUGGAAUUCCCUUUCAGCAGAAGAGGAAUGGGUUCAGUUCCUACUGAAGCACUGAGAAUAAAUAACCCUUUACCAGCUACCUGAGUAUUCCUUAAUUUAGUCAAGUUUCAUCCAAAAUCAACCAUCACAACUUAUUUUCAAAUGUUGAGCUAGCUUUACAUUCUUUAGAUUAGGUCCUGCUUGUUCAUGAUAUAUUGUACUUUUGUAUCAAGCUACAUUUUAUUUAAAAUACUGUGAAAGUUGUUUGAGCCCGUGUUCAUUAGGGAUAUAGUUCUAAUUUUCCAUUCAAUAUCUUUGUUUGGUUAUGGUACCAAGUUAACAUUGACCUCGUAAAAUGAGUUGAGGAGCGUUUUCUUCUCUAUAUUUUGGAAAAGUUUUUGAAGGAUUUAUACUAUUUCUUUCUUACAGAUUUGUUUGAGCUUCCCAGUUAAGCCAUCUAGUUUAGAGUUUUGUGUGUGUGUGUUUGUUUAACACAUUUUGACUAUUAAUUAAAUGUUUUAAAUACAGAACUAUUUGGGUGAUCGAGUUAUUUUUAAGUUAAUUUGGCAGAUUGUGUCUCCAAGAUUUUGUCUAUUUUAUUUAACAUAAAACUUAUUGGCAUAAAAUCUUCCAUAAUUUGUUGUUUUUAUGUGUUAAUGUAAUAAAUCUGUUGUGAUGUUCCAUCUUUAAUUAUUGACAUUGGUAGUUUGUGUC
rnacentral:lncRNA from 1 species